CAAAAUGGGUGGUAGACUUCACCUAAGGCUAAAUAUUAGCGAGAGACCGAUAGCGAACAAGUACCGUGAGGGAAAGAUGAAAAGAACUUUGAAAGGAGAGUUAAAUAGUACGUGAAAUUGUUGAAAGGGAAACGAUUGAAGCCAGUCGCACCUGCGGGUAAUCAGCCUUUUGGGCAUGAUUCUGUGGAGCGGGAGGAGUUAAACGCCUUCCUUUCUGCAUAUUCGUGUACUUUGGGUGUACUUGCCUGUGUGGUUAGUUAACAUCAAUUCUGGUUAUCAUAAAAUGGCUGGAGGAAUGUAGCUUCCAUUUCGAUUGAAGUGUUAUAGCCUUCGGCAGAUGUGAUGAUCGGGAUUGAGGAUUGCAACGGAUACCCUUCGGGGCUACCUGUCUGAUCUCUGAUCGUUGCUUUGGUGCCGAAAGCGUGCUUACGGUUAUCAAAGUCGAUGGUCAAUAGGUUAGAACGGGUCAAAUUCGUUAGGGAUGUUGACGUAUGGCUUUAACGACCCGUCUUGAACACGGACCAAGGAG
rnacentral:rRNA from 1 species